rnacentral:rRNA from 1 species
GACGAACGCUGGCGGCGUGCUUAACACAUGCCAGUCGAACGGAAAGGCCCUGCUUUUGUGGGGUGCUCGAGUGGCGAACGGGUGAGUAACACGUGAGUAACCUGCCCUUGACUUUGGGAUAACUUCAGGAAACUGGGGCUAAUACCGGAUAGGAGCUCCUGCUGCAUGGUGGGGGUUGGAAAGUUUCGGCGGUUGGGGAUGGACGCGCGGCUUAUGAGCUUGUUGGGGGGGUAGUGGCUUACGAGGGCUUUGGCGGGUAGCCGGCCUGGGAGGGUGAACGGCCACAUUGGGCCUGCGAUACGGCCCAGCCUGCUACGGGAGGCAGCAGUGGGGAAUAUUGCACAAUGGGCGGAAGCCUGAUGCAGCAACGCCGCGUGCGUGAUGACGGCCUUCGGGUUGUAAACCGCUUUCGCCUGUGACGAAGCGUCAGUGACGGUAAUGGGUAAAGAAGCACCGGCUAACUACGUG